GAGAAGAGGAGAGCGUGGAAGACCGAGUGGAAAAACUUAACAUCUAGGCGCCCCUUGCCUCUCUUUAAUCCUAGCAGACAUACUUUAUUUUACCAAACCAGGUUGAGAAAUCUAAGAAAAUUGCCCGAAGUCCCAAGCUGGCAAGAGACGACGCUGGGACACUUUCCACUAAUGGCAGUGUUGGAAUUACAGGCAUGAUUUACUAUAAUAAGAGAGGAUCUUGAAGAGGAUCUUCUCCCUCAAGAAGACUGAAUUCUCCAUUGGAUUUUCCACGGGUUCCUACACUUAAGCUCCUAACGCCCUCAGGAGGAUCGUUUGUACAGUUGCUUUGGAGUGCUUCCUUUGCCCCCAGGUCCCACAGAACACAAACAGGGGCUCCGGGCCCCACAGUGAUGCCUGACUCAUCGUCCUCUGCAGAGCCUAGACAUCUCUUUGUCUAGAUGGGUUGUUGCUGUUUCUCUCCCAUCCCCUCCCCUGUGCAUAUAGCAUCCACCUCCCCAACAACUACAAGCUCCUCGGGGUAGAGGGUUUUUUUUUUUUUCAUGGUUUUCCCAUGAGACCCUGGAGCCUUGGCCAUGACAAUUCCCACUGAUCCCGUCUCCAUGAUAAAUAGAUGACUGAUGCUAUACAAGACUGACUACAGGGGACAAACUGGAGGUAGGAGGGGUGGCUGAGGAUUCUGUUGGUCUUUGUUGAGCCCAAGACAGAAACAAAGGACGGCACAUAAAUGGAAAGGAGGGGGGGUGGAAAGCUGAGGCUGACAGUCUAGGGAGGAGACUGCCCUGUCCUGUGCUGUCUGGUCCCUCUUCCAAAGCACCUAGGCAACCUGAGGGAAGGCAUCAGGGACAAAGUUGAAGAGUCACCAAGGUUCUGGGUCCAGUGGAAAUAGUAUUUAUUGGUUUAUGUGACUUUACUAUUUUUAAGAAAAUAAACAG